UCUGUAUCCUCUAGAUCAUGGACAGCCUAUUGAUCCUUCUAACUCUGCAGCAAAGCCUCCAAGUUAAAAAGGAAAAUAAGUCUCUCAACACCAUUAUUUAUUCAGCUGCACACAGUCUUGAACUGCUGAAAUAUAAAAAUGAAACCAAAGCAGUUUCCAUCUAAUCACUUUUUUAAAAAAUGCCAUGCAGAAUAUGUUUAUCACAAUCACCAUCAUCAUCAUCAUCACCACUGCUGUUGCCACUGCAUCACCAUCCAACAUGA
rnacentral:lncRNA from 10 species